AAUUAUUAACGUUGUAAGCCCAUGAGGAGAGUCGAAUCCAGAUCAAUCUUUUCUCUUCUCGACUUCUCGUAUGCCGCGUCCCGUCGCCGCCAUUCUUGACGACUCCGCCUCGCGUCUGUUUGGCUUCCAUGCCGCUGCUCUGCAAUCAGCCACAUUGUGCGUUAGUAGAGACAAGAAUUAGGAGGCCAGUAGGGUUCAAUUUGGAAUCCUUCAUAAUUGGAAUAAAAUUGCAGAUUGGGGGAAAAUUUGAGAAUUGAGUUGAAGGUGCUAUUUGGAUGUUAAUUGAUGGAACGAUUUUACAAAAGGAAAGUGCCAGAGCCGAAUAGUGCUAACAAUGCAUGUAAUUCAUGUUUGGAUGAUAUAAACUGAGGAAGAUAGAGAUUAC